AGGUGCUGGUGCGAGCGUUGUCCGGCAUUAUUGCGCGUAAAGUGCUCGUAGGCGGUUUGUCGCGUCGGCGGUGAAAACUUGGGGCUUAACUCCAAGCUUGCGGUCGAUACGGGCAGACUUGAGUUCGGCAGGGGAGAAUGGAAUUCCUGGUGUAGCGGUGAAAUGCGCAGAUAUCAGGAGGAACACCGGUGGCGAAGGCGGGUCUCUGGGCCGAUACUGACGCUGAGGAGCGAAAGCGUGGGGAGCGAACAGGAUUAGAUCCCUGGUAGUCCACGCCGUAAACGGUGGGUGUUAGGUGUGGGGGGUUUCCACGCCCUCUGUGCCGCAGCUAACGCAUUAAGCACCCCGCCUGGGGACUACGGCCGCAAGGCUAAAACUCAAAGGAAUUGACGGGGCCCGCACAAGCGGCGGAGCAUGUGGAUUAAUUCGAUGCAACGCGAAGAACCUAACCUGGGCUUGACAUGGACUAGAAAGCUCUAGAGAUAGAGCCUCCCUUGUGGCUGGUUCACAGGUGGUGCAUGGCUGUCGUCAGCUCGUGUCGUGAGAUGUUGGGUUAAGUCCCGCAACGAGCGCAACCCUCGUUCCAUGUUGCCAGCACGUAAUGGGGGAACUCAAAGGAGACUGCCGGGGUCAACUCGGAGGAAGGUGGGGAUGACGUCAAAUCAUCAUGCCCCUUAUGUCUUGGGCUUCACGCAUGCUACAAUGGCCGAUACAAAGGGCUGCAAUACCGUAAGGGGGAGAGAAUCCCAAAAAGUCGGUCUCAGUUCGGAUUGAUGUCUGCAACUCGACCUCAAGAAGUCGGAGUCGCUAGUAAUCGCAGAUCAGCAACGGUGCGGAGAAUACUUUCCCGGGCCUUGUACACACCGCCCGUCAAGUCAUGAAAGUCGGUAACACCCGAAG
rnacentral:rRNA from 1 species